GCAUAGUCAAAUGAAUAAGCAGUGUGGUGGCCUAUUGAUGAAGAUGCUCGCCUCCCAAUCAGAAGGUUGAGAGUUCAAUCCUAGGUAGCUGCAGAUGUUUCUCUCCCAGGUCACAAAGAAAAUAAAUCUGCUGUGAACUUUGCAU